rnacentral:rRNA from 1 species
UACGUAGGGUGCGAGCGUUAAUCGGAAUUACUGGGCGUAAAGCGUGCGCAGGCGGUUCGCUAAGACCGAUGUGAAAUCCCCGGGCUUAACCUGGGAACUGCAUUGGUGACUGGCGGGCUAGAGCAUGGCAGAGGGGGGUAGAAUUCCACGUGUAGCAGUGAAAUGCGUAGAGAUGUGGAGGAAUACCGAUGGCGAAGGCAGCCCCCUGGGCCAAUACUGACGCUCAUGCACGAAAGCGUGGGGAGCAAACAGG